AUGGCCCACUGGGCUACAUUAGAGACUGGGAUAAUGGCCCCACUGGGCUACAUUAGAGACUGGGAUAAUGGCCCCACUGGGCUACAUUAGAGACUGGGAUAAUGGCCCCACUGGGCUACAUUAGAGACUGGGAUAAUGGCCCCACUGGGCUACAUUAGAGACUGGGAUAAUGGCCCACUGGGCUACUUUAGAGACUGGGAUAAUGGCCCCACUGGGCUACAUUAGAGACUGGGAUAAUGGCCCCACUGGGCUACAUUAGAGACUGGGCUAAUGGCCCCACUGGGCUACAUUAGAGACUGGGAUAAUGGCCCCACUGGGCUACCUUAAAGACUGGGAUAAUGGCCCCACUGGGCUACCUUAGAGACUGGGAUAAUGGCCCCACUGGGCUACCUUAGAGACUGGGAUAAUGGCCCCACUGGGCUACCUUAGAGACUGGGAUAAUGGCCCCACUGGGCUACCUUAGAGACUGGGAUAAUGGCCCUAAUGGGCUACAUUAGAGACUGGGAUAAUGGCCCUACUGGGCUACCUUAGAGACUGGGAUAAUGGCCCCACUGGGCUACAUUAGAGACUGGGAUAAUGGCCCUCAUGGGCUACAUUAGAGACUGGGAUAAUGGCCCUACUGGGCUACCGUAGAGACUGGGAUAAUGGCCCCACUGGGCUACCGUAGAGACUGGGAUAAUAUCCCCACUGGAAUACAUUAGAGACUGGGAUAAUGGCCCCAAUGGGCUAUCUUAGAGACUGGGAAAAUGGCCCUACUGGGCUACCUUAGAGACUGGGAUAAUGGCCCCACUGGGCUACAUUGGAGACUGGGAUAAUGGCCCUCAUGGGCUACAUUAGAGACUGGGGAAAUGGCCCUACUGGGCUACCUUAGAGACUGGGAUAAUGGCCCUAAUGGGCUACAUUAGAGACUGUGAUAAUGGCCCUAAUGGCCUACCUUAGAGACUGGGAUAAUGGCCCCACUGGGCUACAUUAGAGACUGGGAUAAUGGCCCCACUGGGCUACCUUAAAGACUGGGAUAAUGGCCCCACUGGGCUACCUUAGAGACUGGGAUAAUGGCCCCACUGGGCUACAUUAGAGACUGGGAUAAUGGCCCUAAUGGGCUACCUUAGAGACUGGGAUAAUGGCCCCACUGGGCUACAUUAGAGACUGGGAUAAUGGCCCCACUGGGCUACCUUAAAGACUGGGAUAAUGGCCCCACUGGGCUACCUUAGAGACUGGGAUAAUGGCCCCACUGGGCUACAUUAGAGACUGGGAUAAUGGCCCCAAUGGGCUACCUUAGAGACUGGGAUAAUGGCCCCACUGGGCUACAUUAGAGACUGGGAUAAUGGCCCCACUGGGCUACCUUAAAGACUGGGAUAAUGGCCCCACUGGGCUACCUUAGAGACUGGGAUAAUGGCCCCACUGGGCUACAUUAGAGACUGGGAUAAUGGCCCCACUGGGCUACCGUAGAGACUGGGAUAAUAUCCCCACUGGGCUACAUUAGAGACUGGGAUAAUGGCCCCACUGGGCUACAUUAGAGACUGGGAUAAUGGCCCCACUGUGAUACCUUAGAGAUGGGAUAAUGGCCCUAACGGGCUACAUUAGAGACUGUGAUAAUGGCCCUACUGGGCUACAUUAGAGACUGGGAUAAUGGCCCCACUGGGCUACAUUAGAGACUGGGAUAAUGGCCCUACAGAACAGUUUGUAAUUGAGCAUGUUAAUCUCCCACCAUGUCUGAAUAAUGCUGUAAUAUCUUAUAGAUACUCCUCUGAGUCCCAAAUGGCACCCUAUUCCCUUUAGAGUGCACUACUUUUGUGAGGCACACCGAGUCUCUGCAAAGUCUGCCUCUUGUUGUUGGAAGCAAAUAUUCUCCACAAUCCCCAUGUUAUCAUUAAUCCGUCUCUACCUCGUAGGAAAGCCUGUAAAAUCUUCUGGAUUCCAAUUGGAUUCACUAGAAGGAGCUGGUGGAAAGGACUAAAGUUCCUUCUCGACCGGGAACCCCCGUCAAAGGGGUUUUCCUCCCUCUCCACUGACACACUCAAGCUUGAUCUGACGGGCAGAUUUGCAUAGUUUCAGAGAGGUGUGAUGGCAAAUGGCACCCUAGGUCAAAAUUAGUGCUUAUAUAGGGAAUAGGGUGAGUAGUGCAUUAUAUAGGGUAUAGGGUGAGUAGUGCAUUAUAUAGGGCCUUCAAACUCAACUCCGGAUCUCCAAGACAGUUUCACUGCAUUAUUUCAUUGUUCCCUGAUUUAGACCUGGAACACCAGGUGGGUGAUUCCCCUUUAAUCAGGGACUGAUUUAGACCUGGGACACCAGGUGGGUGAUUCCCCUUUAAUCAGGGACUGAUUUAGACCUGGGACACCAGGUGGGUGAUUCCCCUUUAAUCAGGGACUGAUUUAGACCUGGGACACCAGGUGGGUGAUUCCCCUUUAAUCAGGGACUGAUUUAGACCUGGGACACCAGGUGGGUGAUUCCCCUUUAAUCAGGGACUGGUUUAGACCUGGAACACCAGGUGGGUGAUUCCCCUCUAAUCAGGGACUGAUUUAGACCUGGGACACCAGGUGGGUGAUUCCCCUUUAAUCAGGGACUGAUUUAGACCUGGGACACUCAACCAUGCACUCUGAAAGCUCCUUUUUAAAUGAACCUCCCCUGGGUCACACCACAGUGUCAAACUUUAACCCCAAAACUCUUCUCAGUUUUCACACAUUCAUUCUCAUCCCUGACUGUUGCUUUUCUCCACUCCUUUGGUAAAUUAGUAUCCCUUGAAACCAUUGUGUUGUGUUCACACCUGGAUCCCAUUGACUUCUGCAUACAGGCCAACGAGGCUGUGCCUCUGGGAGUGACUGCAGUAAAACACAAUUACAACCAGCUUUAAGCCGUUUACUCAGCUCCCUGCACCCCUCACACACACACACACACACACACACACACACACACACACACACACACACACACACACACACACACACACACACACACACACACACACACACACACACACACACACACACACACACACACACACACACACACACACACA